rnacentral:tRNA from 1 species
GCGUUUGUGGUUCAGUGGUAGAAUUCAUCGUUGCCAUCGAUGAGGCCCGGAUUCGAUUUCCGGCGGACGCA